AUCGUGAUUCACGUCGUGAGGUAUUUUUUGAUUUUUCCGAAAUCUUGAAUCCUUUGAUCUUUGUCAAUUCGCUUCGAUUCUUCAAGACUCCGACUCACUUCACGAAACUUGCCAAUACAAAAUCCUUAACAUGUCAAUCGCCUUGGCACAUCUCCAAAUCGACAGAGUUCUAAGCCAUAUACUUAGAAUUCAGUCAAAUGAUAUCAACUUUAUUCGAACUCUAACAUAUAUACUUAGAGUUCAUCCGACUAGCCCUAGCACAUAUACC
rnacentral:lncRNA from 1 species